CUAUGCUUUUUACUUUCCUGGGUUGAUACACUAUUCUAUAAUUUUUUGCAGACAUCAGGGUAUAAAAGUCUCAUUUUCGUUUGGAAGAUUUCGGUUGCGACGUCAGAUCUAUAAACCACAAUUUCAGACUGUUGAACUCUUUGGCUAUAUAGGAGGAUACUUAGGUUUGUGGUUAGGAUUCAGUCUUAUCUCAAUUUUUGAACUCUGUGAAGUGAUUGGAAAAUUUGUUUAUUCUCCACUCCUAAGAAGAUAAUAUUCUUGAGUUGCUGCAAAAGUUUAUGUGCUUAUUUUAUCUUCACUACUAUGCCACUAAUAAAAAAAAAUUCAUUCCAGA